CAUUAUGUAGCUCAAUGAUAGAGUACUUGCUUGGAAUGCAUGGGGCCCUGGGUUUAAUCCCCAGCACAAAAA
rfam:Ictidomys tridecemlineatus contig070248, whole genome shotgun sequence.